rnacentral:lncRNA from 1 species
CUCAACUACAGUUAUUCUCUCAACCCAAGCUAAGGUAGUUGGUGCCAUACAUUUCCCACAGGACUACUAUUUUCCAAUAUCAACAUCUUUAAUUUAUUUAUUUAUUUUUGUUUUAGUGCACUAGCUGGAAGUUUCGAUAUAAUGUUAAAUACAAAGGAUGAGAGUAAAUAUUCUUACAUUUUUCCUGGUCUUAUGAAGAAAGAAUUUUCUUUCACCAUUAAGUAUUAUGUUGUCUGUAGGUUUUUCACAUAUGUUCAUAGUGGGUUGAAGCACUCUCUUU